UACGAGUGGCUCAAGCAUUAUCCGGAAUUAUUGGGCGUAAAGGGUGUGUAGGUGGUCUUGUCCCGCUUAGCGGGAUUUACUAGUCUUUCGUUAAAGCUCCCGGCUUAACCGGGAAAAUGCGAAAGAUACGGCAAGACUAGAGGGUGCGAGGGGUUUGCAGAACUCAUGGUGUAGGGGUGAAAUCCGUUGAUAUCAUGGGGAAUACCAAAAGCGAAGGCAGCAAACUGGCGCACACCUGACACUGAAACACGAAAGCGUGGGUAGCGAACGGGAUUAGAUACCCUGGUAGU
rnacentral:rRNA from 1 species